rnacentral:lncRNA from 1 species
UAAUCUAAGACAAUAAUUGAUUAGAUUUAGUCAAUUCUCUAAUUAAGUCCAUCUUUAAUCUAACCUUAGGUCUAACCCAAUUAAUGGACCUAAUUCCCACUAACCCAUUAACCUAAUGUGUUAUGGUUUGUGUCUUAGGUUCUUCAAUUCACAAUCCUAGAAACUAAUCAAACAACUUCUUAAUUCUUAAUUAAGUUUUGGGCUGAGGAUUG